rnacentral:lncRNA from 1 species
CACUCCAACCCCACCUAUCUUUUUUACCCAUUUUACGAAGUCCCAAUUCAUAAGGCUUCCACCAUCCCUGAACUUGACCAAUCGCAUCACAGAGGCGAAACAUAGCUACAGAGAUCUAGUCCGACGACGAGAAAGAUUCGAGAUCCAAAUCCAAAUCCAUCGUAAAAAUGCCACAAUGAAGUAGGAUGAACGGAGCAGCCCAACUCAAUGUAAAGAGGUAGUGAGAGAUCUCCAGCAUUGUUGAACGUCGUCGAGCGACUGCUGGUGGACGGGCUCGAGCAACAGUGAGCGUUCUCCAGCAAUUUGGGGUGAGAUUUGCAAAUUUCUUUAUGUUCUUUGUUGGGCUGUGUAAAGGUUUAUAAACUAUUGUGGUGGCUCCUUGAAGUGAUCUACGUGGUUCAUUGUGUCUCUACUUAUACUUCUAUAUGUAUUUGUGAUGCAAGUAAGUGGUGGUUUGUUAAAUGGGUGGUAGUGGUUGGUUGGAGGCGGAGGCGGCAGAGGUGAUGGUGAUGGUGGAUUCAAUGAGGUGGUACUGAAACUUUAAACUUUACAAAACUAAAACUUUAGAACUUGAAAACCUAAAUUCAUUUAUUGUCAAGAUUCUCCAUGUCAAAUCACCAAGAGACUUAUUAAGUGUAGAACAUACUUGAAUUCACUGGGAAUGUUUCUUUAAUACUAAAUCUUGAUUUAUGAUUUUGAAUCUCGAAACUUAAACUGCAAUCUUUUCAUCUCUGACUUCUUCAUUUUUAAUUUUUAAUUUUAUCUCAUUUGAUUCUAUAAUUCUUGCUCUUGGUUUUGCUUCUUGAUUAUUGAUUUUCCCUUCUGGAUCGUGG